CCUAACUAUGACUUGCAAAGGUCCUUGAAUUUCUUAUGCAACAGCUAUGGCCAAGGACAGAGCUCUGCACCAGCUGAACCACGGGCCUGAUCCAGUACUACAGUUGCUUUUCCACUCCCAUGGCAAUAAUUUCCCCAUGAUAUUGAGCACAGUCCUCAUGGUGUAUUGACACCACUAUAGGAAUAUGUGGAUGGAGGUUUCCUAUGUUGUACCAGCCACAGAAGCAGAACAAAUACACGAAAACCAACAGAAGCUUUAGUUUUACUACUUAGGAUGUGUAUGGGAGCUGUUGAAUCACAGCCUGAACCACUGAUUGAUCACCUGAGGCAAGCACUGAGUCAGCCAUGGGAGCACAGGUGAAGGCAAUUCACCUGUGUGACGAGAAGGGGUGGAGCCUGGCUGCACCUCUCCUAGACCCCAUUUAAGGGCUGACUGCCGCUGGUGAAGGAUAUCUUUUUGGAGCUUGCUCCCUUUGGAGUUUUUCUGUGAGCCUCUGAUAUGGGGAUCAGAAUUCUAUCCCAUACGAUGAAAUGUGACUGGAGUUGACUGUAUUUACUGUGGAAAAAGUAAAAUCAUUUUAGAAAUGCAUUUAAGUGAAGAUGUUAUCUCCUUUGGCAUGUCUGCAUCACACACACAGGGGUGUGUAAGGUUCUAGGUGUACUGGAAGCAUCACUGUGCUUUGUUGAAGAGAAGAAAAAAGACUGGGGAGAAGGGAUUCCAUCGUCUCUUGAAGUUCAUAUUUGGUAGAGUUCUCCCUAGCAGAAGGCCUGUACAGUGCCUAGAUAACACAUGGAGUCAAAACAGGAAGAGAGGGAGGCAGAGCAGUACAUGAAU
rnacentral:lncRNA from 1 species